AGAAACUUAAGUUAUUAUAAACUAAGAACCUUCAAAGUUCUAAAAAGAGCCCACUCUAGUUUCUG
rnacentral:tRNA from 1 species